CACAUAUGCAGCCCUUCUCCCCCCUCGCUGCCCUUCUGCAAACCCUUCUCCCUCCCUCGCUCCAUCCGUCGCCGGUCGCUCGCUCGUCCGUCGCCCUCGCCCUCGCUCGUGCUCUCUGCCUCUCUCGAUCUCGCUCUUGCUCGCUGCUUCUCUCUCGCUUUCGCUCGCCCUCGCUGUUGCUCGCUGGUUCUCUCGUUCUCGCUCGCUGCGCACUGCUCUCUCGAUCUCGCUCUUGCUUGCUGCUUCUCUCUCACUCCCCCUCGCUGUUGCUCGCUAGCUCUCUCGUUCUCGCUCGCUGCGACAGUGCUGCAAACACCCAUAUAUGCUUCAUCCGAGCCCGGAUCUGUACAACUGUUAUGUUAUUUGGUAGACCCAGUCACAGAGACAAGCUAUGCUCUUACUUAUUGAAAGUUGGGAUAUCUCUUGCUUCACUAUUUGGACAUGCCACAUAGAAGAUGAACAAAUAUGACAUAUAGAGCAUCAUAUGGCCAAUCUAUGCGACAUCGCCAGUUCAGAUAGAGUGAUGGCGAGGACCACAUUGGGGAACAUUCAUUUCCGUCGGCCAAGAUGAGGUUUGAUUCUCCUAGCCCAUAGACACCCCACCCUAGCUAUGACGGGCCUUCUUCCACGCCCAUUGAAGUUGAGGUUUCAUCUACGCCCACAGUUACCUCUUAAAAUCAUCUCAUGACACGCCAGUUAGGUUUCUUAUAAGUAUUUCUUAUUUACUAAUUAAUUUUUAUUUCAACAAAGAAACUUUCAUUUUAGCACACGAGUUCACAAACUAAUAUGUGCUUUAACAUGUUUGAUAACAAUUUGUGCAAAUUGGAUAUUUCUUGAAUCAUCCAAAGUAAGCUUGAGGGGUUAUGCCUAAAUUGGAAAAAGACAAACCAUACUUUCAGAGAAAUGUGGUUUGACAAGUUUAAGGUAAUGUAUUGCUUUAGUAUAUCAAUGAUUGAUGAUUUGCUUUAAUAAUGUCUAAAUUUAAUUUUUAUUGCAAUCAAGUGAAUAGUAUGAUUAUGGUUUGUAAAAAAAUGAUUCAUAUUCACAAUAAAACAACACUUUUGUUAUUAGUAGUAUAAAUUAAAUAGUGUAUCUUCGUACCGUUGGUAAUAUGCGAUCUUUGAAUGUUUUUUUAUUAUAUGUAUACAUGUUUUUUCUAUUUCUUAUAUUUAUUUUUAUAUGACUAGCUGUGUUAGUGAUUAGAAAUAAAUGUCUCACAUAUUCUAUUCAAGAAAUUUUUUUUAAUAUGAGUAUUAUAUGAGCGAUAUGUUUGCUAUGAAAAUAACCAUUGUUUUGAUUUUAUUUUGUUUUUUAUUUUUUUUAACUUUUACUUUGUCUUAAUAUUAUAGAAGAACUGGUCUUGGGAUAGUGAAUUGGAACAUCAAAGCAAGAUUAAUUUUGAAAAUAUUGGCUCCAACUGUUUGACAGACAUAUUGUUUCUUGCCCAAAAAAAUUUGAUUAAAAAAUCAGGUUGGAUGUGUCCGUCUGUAUUCGAAGUCUUAAAAGAGUAUUAGAAUUCUGUAGAAUUCAAGAACAAGUCUGAAAAAAUAAAGAAAAAUUGAGUCUCAGAUGUUGGGGGCAAUAUGCAUACUUGUGGUUCUAUUCUCAUGACGGAGCAUAAGAAAAGAUUGAUAAUAUUUGAUAUUUUUUUAUUUUUAUUUUACUUAAUUAAUUUUUAAGAAACAAUAAUUUUUGCAUGAAUAUAUUUUUUUCUCUUUCAAUCGAGGCAAUUUGGUUGCCUACAUAGAAUAUCCUCGGUUGUAAGGGAAAAAAGGUAUUUAUGUAAAAAUUGUUGUUUUUUAAAAAGUAAUGAAGCAAAAUAAAAAUAAUAAGAAAAUGUCAAAUAUUAUCAAUUUUUUUUUUAUGCUCCAACAUGAGAAUAGAACCACAGGUAUGCAUACUGUCCCCGACAUCCGAUGCUCGAUUUUUAUUUGUUUUUUCAGACUUGUCCUUCAAUUAUGCAGAAUUUCAAUACUCUUUUAAGACUUCAAAUACAGACGGACACAUCCAAUCUGAAUUUUUUAGUUAAAUCUUUGUGAGUACGAAACAAUAUGUUCGUCAUACGGUCGGAAGCAGUCUUUUCAAAAUUAGUCCUGAUUUGAUUUUCCAAUUCACUAUUCUAAGAUCAGUCUUCUAUAAUGUUAAGACAAAGUAAACGUUAAAAAAAAUAAAAUCAAAACAAGGGUUAUUUCAUAACAAGCAGACCACCCAUAUAGUAUACAUGCUAAAUAAAUUUCUCGAAUAGAAUAUGUGAAACAUUUAUUUCUAAGCACUAGCACAAUUAGUUAUACAAAAAUGGAUACAAGAAUUAAAAAAAAAUACAUGUAUACGGAUAAUAAAAAAGUAUUCAAAUAUUGCAUACUACUAAUAAUUCGAAGAUACACCAUUAAAUCUAUACUACUAAUGACAUGAGUGUUGUUUUAUUGUGAACAUGAAUCACCUUUUUACAAGUCAUAACCAUACCAUUCACUCAAUUGCAAUUCAAAUUAAAUUUAGACAUUAUUAAAUUAAAUCAUCAAUCAUAGAUAUACUAAAAUAACACAUUACCUUAAACUCGCAAAAUCACAUUUCUCUGACAGCAAGGUCUAUCUUUUUCCAACUUGGGUAUGGCCCCUCAAACUUACUUUGGAUGAUUCAGAAAAUAUCUGGUUUGUACAAGUUGUUAUCAAACCUGUUAAAAUACACAUUAGUUUGUGAACUCAUGUGCUAAAAUGAAAGUUUCUUUGUUGAAAUAAAAAUUAAUCAGUAAAUUAAGGAAUACUUACGAGGAACCCAACGGACAUGUCAUGAGACGGUUUUGAGGGGUAGUGUUAUUUCACUUGUAUUAAAUUAGAUGAUAAUUUGUGUAUGCUGUCAUUUGUAUACUUCCUCUCUGCAUUUUUUCGAUUAGAAUAAGUAUAAUUCUAGAAGGUAUGUUUCUAGAAUGGUGGUUGACUGUUUCAAUUAGUUAGUUAAUUUUGGUUAGACGGUCAGUUAGUUAAGUCAUUGUAUCUCACGCCCCUAUAAUCUAUAAAUAGGGAUCAUGGGGCAAGGCAGUGGGGUGUGUGUGUGCGCUUCAUUACAGAAAGGUCUUUUGUUUCUAUCUUGUGGGUUAGGAUUAAUGGAGAGAUUGAAAGAGAAAGGCUGGGUAUAAGUCUUGUAUUCUCGGGAAUCUAUUUAACUUUUAGGGUAUAUGGGUUGGGUAUAGAUUCGAGUACUCUUGUAAUCAUCCUAAAGGUUGUUUCAAAAUUGUGGAUUGGAGUGCAGAAUAGCAGUCUGAAUGUAGGUCUCUUUUGAGAUCGAACCAGUAUAAAUCUUCGUGUGUUCUUACUGUUUUUUUUUUGAUUCUCGGUUAUGUUAUUUAUAUUGUUUGUGUUCUCGGGUGUGGGAAUGUCUAGGGUGAGUUAUUAGAGUUGAGAGAAUUUGAGGGAGUGCUGCGAUAUACUCUAACAAAGUGGUAUCAAAGCGAAUAAGUCUUCUUCAGCGACCAAGAUUUUCAAGAAACUCAAGGAAUCUCGCUCAACACAAGAAAAUGAUAUGGCGCAAUCUACCUCCAGAUUUGACAUUGAUAAAUUUGAUGGGACAAAUGAUUUCGACUUAUGGAGGAUAAAGAUGGAAGCUCUUUUCUGUAGUCAAGAACUUGAGGGAGCUUUGGAACAUGAAGCCAAGACAAUAGACAUAACUACCGGGAAUGAAGUACCGACAGUGACUGAAGAACAAGAAAAAGCUCAAAAAUAAAUCAACAAAAAGGCCUAUAGUAUGCUGAUUCUAAGUCUGAGAGAUAAAGUACUUCAAGAGGUAUUGAAGUGGAAGACGGCGACAGAAAUCUGCAAGAAGCUUGAAGACCUCUACCUUAGAAGAACUCUGUCUAGCCGUCUAUACUUAAAGGCCGGGUUUUUCAACUUCAAAAUGCUAGAAUCUCAAAAAUUGCAGAUCAUAUAGAUAAAUUUAACAAGUUGGACAUAGAUUUAGAGAACAUAGGAGUGAAAUAUGAAGAUGAGGACAAAGCGUUAGUGCUCUUAUAUUCACUGCCUAAAUCUUAUGAGAAUGUUGUAGACAUCCUUCAACAUGGUGGAGAUAAGCUCACAUUAGAAGAUGUCAUUGGUGCAUUAAAUUCCAAAUAAUUGAGGUUUAAGAUGAAUGAUAAAACUACUCAUGGGAUGCCUUAUCAGUUAGAUCAAGAAGCACAAAAAAAGACAAAAAGAAUAGAGGUAAAUCUAGAUCUAAAUCUAGGAAUGGAAAAAGUCCUCUAAAGUGCUGUUACUGUCAGCAAGAAGGUCACAUUAAGCGACUUGGUCCAAAGAGGAAGAAGGACUUAGCCGAAAAGGAAAAUUUAGGAAGAGGGGCAAACUAUUGUGACUUUAGUUAAUGAUAGUUUGGAAGCCCUUAUAUUAAGUGAAAAUGCAAACAACUUAGAGUGGGUCCUGAACUCUGGUUGCUCCUUUCACAUGACCCCAAGAAAACAUUGGCUGCAAAACUUUAAAGAAAUCGAUGGAGGAAAGGUCUUGCUUGGAAAUAAUCAUGAAUGCAAGGUUCAAGGGAUUAGAGAUAUUAGGUUAAAGCUCCAUGAUGACUCUCUUAGAACCCUAACAUCCGUUAGGUAUGUCCCUGAAUUAAAAAAAAAUCUGAUAUCUCUUGGUGAAUUGGAUAGGAAUGGUCUUAAGUUUAAAGGUGAAGAUGGAGCUGUCCAAAUUUUAAAGGGGUCUCUAAUCUGCAUGAGGGCUGUUUUAAAGAAUGUAAUUUAUCUUCUGCAGGCCAUCAUUCUAGGUGGUGAAACUAUAGUCGUUAGCAUUAAUUCUAGGUCCAAAGCAAGUCUGUGGCAUUUAAGCAUGUCACAUAUUAGUGAGCAAGGGCUUAAGGAACUUGCAAACCAAUGUAUUCUGGAUUUAGGACAAUCUCUAAAAUUAAAUAAAUGUGAAUCCUGCAUCUCAAGCAAAGCAACCAAAGUUAAAUUCAAUAAAACAACAAUCCAUUCAUCUAAAGCACCCUUAGAUUAUAUACAUUCAGACUUAUGGGGUCCAGUCCAAACAGAAACUCAUGGGGGCUCUCGGUAUUUCUUAUCAAUUAUAGAUGACUACUCAAGGAUGAUGUGAGUAUAUGUUCUAAAAUCAAAGAAUAACAUUUUUGAAAUAUUUAGGACAUGGAAAAGUAUGGUAGAGAACCAAAAUGGCAAGUCGGUCAAGGUCAUAAGAACUGGCAAUGGGUUGGAAUUUUGUAAUAGAGAGUUUGACCAAAUGUGUAAGGAUGGUAGUAUUAUUGGACAUCUUACAGCUCUCGAAAAUCUCAAGCAAAAUGGGGUUGCCGAGAGGAUGAAUAGAAUCCUCUUGAAAAGGGUAAGAUGCAUGUUUUUUCAUGCUUAUUUACCCAAGUCUUUUUAGGGGUGAAGCUAUUGCUGCAGCAGCUCAUGUUCUUAACAGAACACCCUCUAAAGCUAUCAGUCUCCAAACCCCUUAUGAAAGAUGAACUAAACAUAAGCUAAGCUUAACCUAUCUUAGAGCAUUCGGUUGCCGAGCCUAUGCUCAUAUAAAGCAAGGAAAACUAGAACCAAGGGCAAAGAAAUGCCUGUUCAUUUGUUACCUAUCGAGUGUUAAAGGCUACAAACUAUGGAACUUAGAAUCAGAUGGACCAAAAACUAUAGUUUCUAGGGAUGUUUCAUUUGAUGAGGAGUCUACCAUAAAAUUAGGAAGCCAUGAACCUCAGCAUGAUCAGGAAGAACCUAGAGAAACAGUUUGGGUGGAGAUUCUUGAUAUAACCCCAAAUCUGACCCAAGAUGUCCCAGAAUCCGAGCAUGAAAUUCCUAAACCUAAAUCUAUUAGUGACCAUCACCAAGUCCAAGAACUUUCUCAAAUUGAAGGGGAAGACAGUGACAAUGAUGUAGAUUCCAGCUUAGGAGACCUCCUUAACCCUGAUAGGUAUAAUGUGGUAAGAGACUGGCAGCUUAGAUCCCGUAGACCUCUCCAAAGAGAAGGUUACUCAGACCAAGUAGCCUAUGUAUUCAUUAAUGCAACAUAAUCUAUAAGAGAAGAUCCUCUUGUGAAGUGGUAAUGGCCUCAAAGGAUGCAGACAAGUAGCUGGAAGCGAUGUAGUCUGAGAUUGCAUCCCUUAAGAACCAUACCUAAGAAUUAGUUGAAAGACCAAAAGGGUAGCGUGUGGUAGGCUGCAAAUGGUUGUUCAAAAUUAAAAAGGGAGCAGGAGUUCACUCUAAGCCUAGGUAUAAGGUAAGACUGUUGUAAGAGGUUUUACUCAAGUUCCACUUGUUAACUUUAACGAAGUGUUCUCUCCAGUUGUGAGACACUUCUAUAAGAAUUCUUCUAGCCAUUACUACCCAAUUAGAUCUAUAUCUUGAGCAAAUGGAUGUAACAACCGCUUUUCUUCAUGGAGACCUAGAGGAGAAGAUUCUAAUGGAUCAACCUAAGGGUUUUGAACUUAGGGAGAGGUGGAGAAGGUAUGCCUGCUUAGAAAGUCCUUGUAUGGACUUAAAUAGUCUCCAAGGUAGUGGUAUCGAAAGUUUGAUUCGAUCAUGUUAGGUCAAGUAAUAAAUAAAGUUUGAAUGUCCCUCUACAAAAAAAAAAAAAAAAAAAAAUGAUUGUGAGAGGUUUGACAUGCAAAGUAAUAAAUAAACUAAAGAUAAGGUGUAUCAAUGUGGUCCUUGCAUCACUCUGUCUGAACUGACAAUGUCGCAUAGAUUGGCCAUAUGAUGCUUUGUGUAUCAUAUUCUGUCAUACAUGACAAAGAACAAUUAGCUUGUGAUAACAAUUUUUAAAUACUUUGAAAAUAAAAUAUGAUUUAUCAUAUAAAAUAAUAGUUUAUGUUAUAUUCAUGAACUCGUGUUUAAAAUUGUGUUUUUUGUACUAACAGAUUAAAUGUAAGGAUAAUAUUGUAGUUUUUCACUAUCACCUAUGUAGCUAUUCUGUGUUCUCUGACUGCUCGUCGUUAUACUCCUCUUCCUCUUCGUCCUCAUCUUCGACUUCUUCAUUGUUUAGCUUCUCAUUACCCGCAACAAGGUUUUGAUCGUAGGAGUACUCAUCCACCCAUUCGAAUUCUCUAACUUCAUAUCUAAGGAUGUCAAGUUGUUCGUCUCCAACUGCAGUCGACUGCACUGACAUUUCCUCAUGUGCCUGAUAUGCAUCCCUUGGUUUCUCGAUAAUUGGGGCGUGAACUAUACUUCUAGAAUUAGCUCGAAUGACCACCCAUCAGUCUAUAAAGUUUCGUUGUUGAGAUGGAUACGGAGCCUAAUAAACUUGAUGCGCUUGAGAGGCAAGUAUAAAAAGAUCAUACCGAUUGUACCUCCUGUUUGCUCGAAUCUCAACUAUUCCAUAUUGAUCAUGUAUUCGAGUCCCACGUCUUGGGGUCAGGUCAUGUUCAAUUACACAAUACCACUUGUUUGAUUGGUAAUUCUGGGUAUUCCAAUUGAAUUACCUCUUGGAGUAUACCAUAAUAGUCAUCUCUGGGUUGCCUGUAUACUGACCCUCCAGUGCAAACUCCGUUGUUUCUUAUUGACUUGCCUCGAUUCCAUGAAUCUGUGUGAAACUUGUACCCAUUGAUAAUAUACACAGGCCAUGUGCGCACCAUUUUCAAGGGGCCUCCCAUGACAUGUCACGUAUUUGUUGAUUAUUAAUCUUAUUAGUUGGAUCAUGCACACAUGCGUAUAUAAAAUACAUGGCAUAAUUUGUAUAUUUGUCACGACAAUAAGUUUAACAAUUUAAGAUAAACUUACGUAUUCUUUGAACCAUUUCGAGAAAUCAACCUCUAUCCUCU